rnacentral:lncRNA from 1 species
UAUAUUUGUUUCAUUAUGGCAAAUGCAAGACAAAUACAAAAAUUUAUCACACGUUGGGAUAAUAAAGUAUAUAACAUUUAAUAGAAAAGUACAACUUAUUAUACAUAGUUCAAUAUUUCAUUUUUAGAUAAUUACAAUCGUAUGCACUCUUAAUGAUCUAAAAAAUAAGUAGCAGUAUGUGCAAAAAGUAAGAACACAAAUCUACGUUUUGAUACUUACACUAGUAAAAGUGACUAAGGAUACGUCCACAAGUCUUCCUGCAGUGACUUUUAUUGGAUAAUUGGACAUAAUGAUCAACAGUAUCAAGCUGCGAGCUUUCUUUGUAGAUAGUUUACUUCGUCGACCAGAAGUUGACCGACAUAACAUAUCGAGAAGGUGCCAAAGACGCAAGUUGUUUGCAAGGCAACGUAAGCUAUUAUAGCCAUGGCAUCGCUGUCUUCCCAUUCCUAAAAGACAAUGUUACUGAAAUUAUCACUUUCGAUAUAAUGCAUGGAAUCUUUUAUUCGUACCACGAUUAUGCAGUAACCAAGUAUGCACGUAAUCAGUACUCCAACAAAAAUUUCGAUAAGAUAAACAUAGGGUACGAAUUGAUCAACGUGAUUCAAAAAUCUGAAAUAAUUUCGAUCACAAUGAUUCUAUUCUACAAUUACCCGUAAAUUUUUGUAUUCCUUUUCGAAACUCACUCUUUGAUUCUCGUCUGAUACUCAACGAUAUGCACGAUCUUCUUCUGUACAACUCGUUCAUCAUUGUCAUUCGUAAGAUCCAUUAACUUGUUCGUCAAGAUUCUUAACAAACCGCACAUAUGCAUGCACACCAUCAAGCAAGCACUUUUGAUGCCGCAUACAGCUGUGUGAGUGACAAAUCCGCCGAGAACUUGCAGCGUAAAGAUUAUCUCGUAGUUCGGGGUAACUUGUUCGUUCAAGGAACCAAAGUAACCCGGACAAGGUAACAAUCUUAUAGUCACGUUGUUCGAUAAAACGAUUCUACCUUUCGAAAGUGGAAGAAUCGCCCUGUACAAGAAACCUCCACCGUAUAUAGUGAUCGCUACUAUCAUCGUCAGCUUGUGUUCGAUGGACGCCCUCGAGCUGAAAAUUCGUCGAUUCUCCUGCGUGGCUGUCGACCAAUCCUUCUUUAUCUCGUCCAAUAAUUUGCUAAGUUCCUUCAAAUACAUACAGAAGGCCUGGAAUCAAGACUACCAAUGGCAGCAAGUAUGAGAAAAAAAUUGUAAAGGAAUUUAAAAUUUUAGAAAACGCGGAAGAGGGGACGUUCAAUGGCCAAUAGCCAAGCAUUCUUGAGAGCGGAUAUGCGAAGCAAAAGAAAAGUUUUGCGAACUUCAUAAGAUGGUUAUGAUCGUAGCGUGCAGAUGUGGAAAAAGCCAGUAUUUUGGAGGAUGAGUUUUUUUCAUAAUUAUGGAUCAAUUAUUGAAAUUCUUAAAAUUGAAGAAAAAUACAAUGAAAAAGAU